rnacentral:rRNA from 1 species
GACGAACGCUGGCGGCGUGCUUAACACAUGCAAGUCGAACGGAAAGGCCCUGCUUUUGUGGGGUGCUCGAGUGGCGAACGGGUGAGUAGCACGUGAGUAACCUGCCCUUGACUUUGGGAUAACUUCAGGAAACUGGGGCUAAUACCGGAUAGGAGCUCCUGCUGCAUGGUGGGGGUUGGAAAGUUUCGGCGGUUGGGGAUGGACUCGCGGCUUAUCAGCUUGUUGGUGGGGUAGUGGCUUACCAAGGCUUUGACGGGUAGCCGGCCUGAGAGGGUGACCGGCCACAUUGGGACUGAGAUACGGCCCAGACUCCUACGGGAGGCAGCAGUGUGGAAUAUUGCACAAUGGGCGGAAGCCUGAUGCAGCAACGCCGCGUGCGGGAUGACGGCCUUCGGGUUGUAAACCGCUUUCGCCUGUGACGAAGCGUGAGUGACGGUAAUGGGUAAAGAAGCACCGGCUAACUACGUG